GUUGGUGAAAACCCAUGUCUUAGCACUGUGCUGUAGGUCAGACUGUUAUAGGUCAGUUUCUCCCAGAUGAAAUACUCCCUCUAGGAAGGAAGACUCAUCAGACUGCAGAAGUAAACAAGAUGGGAAAAAGCUAGUUGUUAGGGACUCACUGGGGCCCUGCUCCAGCUUUUACCAAGGCGUAAACAACUGUGUAGCGAAGACUGACCAGCUGAGCUGGGGAAAGGAAUCUAGGCUGUGGCGUCAUCUGCAGGGCACGGAGCGUUCCUGGCAUACAGCCUUUGUGAGUCAUCACUCAAGCUGGGGCAGGCUUUUUGGUCUAGGAGGUGAUGCUAGAGGAAGAGCAGCCCUGGUGUUGGUAUGGCAAAAGGAUUUGGAACCAAGUGGACAUUCUAUCUCUGCACACCAGAAACGAUACUGGGGAAGACACCUGGCUCUUUCUCUCUUAUUUUUUUCUGGAGCAUCCUUCCUACAGGAUGUCAGGAUUGAAUCACUUUCUCUUCUUGUAACAACUUAUAUUGAUUGUCAACGCUCUGCAUUGCCUCACACUUCAUUGUUACUGUAAUCAUUCUGGCAGUAAAGAAGGUAUUCUAUUUUUG